rnacentral:rRNA from 1 species
AUACGGAGGGGGUUAGCGUUGUUCGGAAUUACUGGGCGUAAAGGGUGCGUAGGCGGCUUGAUAAGUCGGAUGUGAAAGCCCCGGGCUUAACCUGGGAAUUGCAUUCGAUACUGUCAGGCUAGAGUAUGUCAGAGGUUGGCGGAAUUCCUGGUGUAGCGGUGAAAUGCGUAGAUAUCAGGAGGAACACCAGUGGCGAAGGCGGCUAACUGGGGCAAUACUGACGCUGAGGCACGAAAGCGUGGGGAGCAAACAGGAUUAGAAACCCCAGUAGUCC